AGUAGUUUAAUCAGAAUGU
rnacentral:tRNA from 1 species